AGAGUUUGAUCAUGACUCAGAAUGAACGCUGGCGGCAUGCCUAACACAUGCAAGUCGAACGAGAUCUUCGGAUCUAGUGGCGCACGGGUGAGUAACGCGUGGGAACCUACCUUUUAGUACGGGACAACGUUUGGAAACGAACGCUAAUACCGUAUACUCCCUCCGGGGGAAAGGUCAGCCGCUAAAAGAGGGGCCCGCGUCUGAUUAGCUUGUUGGUAAGGUAAUGGCUUACCAAGGCUACGAUCAGUAGCUGGUCUGAGAGGAUGAUCAGCCACACUGGGACUGAGACACGGCCCAGACUCCUACGGGAGGCAGCAGUGGGGAAUAUUGGACAAUGGAGGCAACUCUGAUCCAGCAAUGCCG
rnacentral:rRNA from 1 species